rnacentral:rRNA from 1 species
AACGAACGCUGGCGGCAGGCCUAACACAUGCAAGUCGAACGCUCUAGCAAUAGGGAGUGGCGCACGGGUGAGUAACGCGUAGGAAUCUACCCAUUAGCCUGGGAUAACAGCGGGAAACUGCUGCUAAUACCGGAUACGCCCCUUCGGGGGGAAAGGUUUACUACUAAUGGAUGAGCCGGCGUUAGAUUAGCUAGGUGGUGAGGUAAUGGCUCACAAAGGCUCCGAGCUAUAGCCGGUCUGCGAGGACGAUCGGCCACACUGGGACUGAGACACGGCCCAGACUCCUACGGGAGGCAGCAGUGGGGAAUAUUGGGCAAUGGGCGCAAGCCUGACCCAGCCAUGCCGCGUGAGUGAUGAAGGCCUUAGGGUUGUAAAGCUCUUUUAGUAGUGAAGAUGAUGACAGUAGCUACAGAAAAAGCCCCGGCUAACUUCGUGCCAGCCGCCGCGGUAAAAC